GGAACAUGAUCAGAGGGCAUGGUGGGAGUGGGUUGGGGUUGGACUUUGUGAUCUUAGUGGCCUUUUCCAACAUUUAUGAUGCUAUGAUUCU
rnacentral:miRNA from 12 species